GGUAACCUCUUUACCUGACACUAAAAAUAUAAAUAAUUACAGCUUAUGCCAUCCUUUCUCUCUCUCUCUCUUCCCCGAUCUAUUUCACUCUCUGAAGUCUUAACUAACUUCACUACCAUGGCCCCUUCGACACCGCCGACGGCGUCUACGACGUCACCUGGUCCGAAUCUCACGACUCCCUACGCGUCGCCUCCAUCACCAAGGCCUCCGUCAAGCUCUACGACCUCGCCUUCCCGCCGACCUCCAACCUCCUCCGCUCCCUCUUCAAUUCUACUCGUGCUUCAUGUAUGGUUCUCUCCACCCUCAAUAUCUAUUAGCACCUGUUCACAAAUUCCUAGCAAACAUUCUCUGAUUCAUUAUGGGGAGAAAGAAGAAGUUCAUCGACAAGAAAAAGGCUACUUUCCAAUUAAUCUCCCGAGAUUCCUCCGAUCCCAACGACGACGACGACUCACCCGGCGGCGACCGAGUCUUCAUCCAAGUCUCCGGCAACCCAAUGACGAUCCCUAUUCGAUCUUGGCCGACGCGCCUGAGGACGAAGAAGGUGACAACUAUUACGACCACGCUUUCGAAAACUCUGUGGCGGUGGCUCAGCCCCUGCUGGAGAAACAACUUUGAUAAUUUAGGUCCAUGUAAAAAGAAGAAUGACCAAGGAGGAGAAGCUGGCAUUAGUGAAAGCAGGGAGGGAGGAAAGAGGGAAGUACAUGGCUAGAGCUGCUAUAAAAAAGAAGAAUGUAUAUUUUACUGCAAUUCUUUGAAGUUAUCAUGUUUUAGAGUUCUACAAGCAUUGUCAUGGCUUUGAACUUUGCCAUUUGAGGGAGGCUCGAGCAAUAAGCAGAAGGAACACAAGUAUGCCACUUGUUGCAAAGAGGGCAAAGGUAGCUAAAUCUCGUGUGACGCAAAAAGCAGCAGCUUUCUGGCAAAAAUUUCCAAGGGAAGAAAACAUGGAAAUGAUACUGAAAAAUCCAAUUUUCUUUCUGUCCUACUUCUAUUUCAGUUCAAGUAAAUUUUACUUUUACUGUUUUUGGUUAGAAGUAAAUUUUACAUUUAAGAUGAAGACUUCGUUGCAACUUGAUCGUGAGACCGAGGCAUUUCAGUACUCCAACCUUCUCUUUUGUGUGCUUGUGGUUAAAGCUUAUGUAAGGGCAUUACUAAUCAACAGUGGAAUAUGAUUCCAAAUUCAUGGUAGAAGCUAGGCUGGCAGAAAGAAAGUGUAAGGAUGGCGGAGUUAUAAAGAAAAUUCUUACUGAAGGGAAGAAAGGGGAGAAUCUUAAAGACCUCAAUGAAGUAUUUGGUACAUUACCUAUCAUAAUGUUGUUUCUGUUGUUAAUACACUUGUUCAUGAAUGAAUUGGAACUGAUUGUAUGUCAUUGACCAUGUCA